rnacentral:lncRNA from 1 species
AUAAUUUUAUAGUGUGUUAAAAAAUAAUUUUAUUAGACCACUCAACAAUAUAUUCGUAUUAAAAAAAAUUGCAGCUUUAGGCAUAAAUCAAAGAUAUUCGUAGGAGUUGCAGGUGCUCAUUUUGCAAUAAACCGUCCCGACAUCGGUUUGGUCUGGAGUUUUUAAUUGAUCAGAAUCAGUUCAGUUUUGUUAAAAACGAAAACAAACACAGGAAACUGAUGAAGACCAAGCCCGAACUACUGCAUUAAUUUAAUUUAUACAAAGCCCAUGCAAGCUAUUUAUGAUGUGAAAUGAAAUUUAUGAUAUGAUAUGAUACGAAAUAGCUAUAUAUGGCUAUUUAUGAUAUGAAAUGAAAAUCCAUUAUAAAUAUACAGGAAAAUUAAUAACUAAGAACUCGUAUCCUAUAUUAUAUAUUCGGAUCCAGUUAUAUUACAACUGUGAUACCAUACUAUACAACGCUUUUUGUUUCUAUUCUGAAAUAUCCUUCGACGUAAAGAAUCUAACGGUUGAAAUUAGUUCUUGGAUAAUUUAGGUAUCCAGCUAUGUUGUCAUUAUAUAUUCAGUAAACUUCAUUACAUUAUGAUUUAAUUAGCUAAAAUAUUUUUUUCAUGCAACAUGUUUGAAUGGCCAGAUAAUUUUCAACACGCUUCUCGUUCAAACUUGAAGUAUCCAUUAUGAAAAAUACAAAUAGAAUUUAUUGUUUCUUUCGAGUAAUUAAGUGCAGUUUCCAGUUACUGUGUAACUUUACGCUCAUAAUCAAUUCAUUUUUUACUGCAUUGAUUC